GAUGAACGCUGGCGGCGUGCCUAAUACAUGCAAGUCGAGCGAACAGACGAGGAGCUUGCUCCUCUGACGUUAGCGGCGGACGGGUGAGUAACACGUGGAUAACCUACCUAUAAGACUGGGAUAACUUCGGGAAACCGGAGCUAAUACCGGAUAAUAUAUUGAACCGCAGGGUUCAAUAGUGAAAGACGGUUUUGCUGUCACUUAGAGAUGGAUCCGCGCCGCAUUAGCUAGGUGGUAAGGUAACGGCUUACCAAGGCAACGAUGCGUAGCCGACCUGAGAGGGUGAUCGGCCACACUGGAACUGAGACACGGUCCAGACUCCUACGGGAGGCAGCAGUAGGGAAUCUUCCGCAAUGGGCGAAAGCCUGACGGAGCAACGCCGCGUGAGUGAUGAAGGUCUUCGGAUCGUAAAACUCUGUUAUUAGGGAAGAACAAAUGUGUAAGUAACUAUGCACGUCUUGACGGUACCUAAUCAGAAAGCCACGGCUAACUACGUG
rnacentral:rRNA from 1 species